rnacentral:lncRNA from 1 species
GAUGUCUCACAUCAUAUAGAAAUAAAUAUAUAGGUCAUAUGCGGAUAGAUACAUAAAAUUUUAAAAUGAAAGUAAGCCCACAUAAAGAUAAAUACAUGGACAUCCAUACUCAAUGUAAGUAAAUAGCUAUCCCAUGAGAAUAUAUGAAGGUUUUGUAUGAAGGGGCGUAACAUGUAGAGGAAAAUUCACAUAAAAUCAUAUAUUUAGACAUCCACACA